GGGGCUAGGGUAAGGUUUAAGGUUUUUGGGGUGAGGGUUAAAAUCACUGUCCAAGACAUUUUUAGGAACAAACCUUUUGGAGUUAAUUAGUCCAAAAAAAUGAACAAAGAAAAAAAAAAUGUUUGGGAUGUUAGGGCUUCCUAUAGGUAAUACCCGGGUAUUGGGAUACAAGGCUAGGGUAAGGAUUAAGGUUUUGGGGGUUAAAAUCACUGUCCAAGACAUUUUUAGGAACAAACCUUUUGGAGUUAAUUAGACCAAAAAAAUGAAAAAUGAAAAAAAAAAUGUUUGUCAUGUUAGGGCUUCCUUAAGGCAAUACCCGGUUAUUGGGUUACGGGGGUAAGGAUUAAGGUUUUUGGGGUUAGGGUUAAAAUAACUGUCCCAGACCUUUUUGUUACAAGUUUCAGACCUUUUGGAGAUAGUUAGUCAAAAAAAAAAAAAAAAACAUGAAAAAAAAAAUGUUUGGGGUUUUAGGGCUUCUUUUAGAUAAUACACGGGUAUGAAGGGUAAGGUUUAAGGUUUUUGGGGUGAGGGUUAAAAUCACUGUCCAAGACCUUUUUAGGAACAUCUUUCAAACCUUUUGGAGUUAGUUAGUCAAAAAAAAAAAAAAAGAAAAAAAAAUGUUUGGGGUGUUAGGGCUUCUUUUAGAUAAUACCCGGGUAUUAAGUUACAGGGCUAGGGUAAGGUUAAAGGUUUUUGGGGUUAGGGUUAAAAUCACUUUCCAAGAUCUUUUUAGGAACAUGUUUCAAACCUUUGGAGUUAAUUAGACAAAAAAAAAAAACGAAAAAUGAAAGAAAAAAUGUUUGGGGUGAUAGGGCUUCCUAUAGGUAAUACCCGGGUAUUAAGUUACGGGGCUAGGGUAAGGUUUAAGGUUUUUGGGGUUAGGGUUAAAAUCACUGUCCAAGACCAUUUUAGGAACAUGUUUCAAACCUUUGGAGUUAAUUAGACAAAAAAAAAACGAAAAAUGAAAGAAAAAAUGUUUUGGGUGUUAGGGCUUCCUUUAGGUAUUGGGAUACAGGGCUAGGGUAAGGAUUAAGGUUUUUUGGGGUAAGGGUUAAAAUCACUGUCCAAGACCUGUUUGUUACAUGUUUCAGACCUUUUGGAGUUAGUUAGUCCAAAAAAAAAAAAAAAAAGAAAAAAGAAAAGUUUGGGGUGUUAGGGCUUCCUAUUAAUAAUACCCGGGUAUUGGCUUUCGGGGCAAGGGUAAGGAUUAAGGUUUUUGGGGUUAGGGUUAAAUUAACUGUCCCAGACCUUUUUGUUACAAGUUUCAGACCUUUUGGAGAAAGUUUGUCCAAAAAAAAAAAAAAAAAACAUGAAAAAAAAAAUGUUUGGGGUUUUAGGGCUUCUUUUAGAUAAUACACGGGUAUGAAGUUACGGGGCUAGGGUAAGGUUUAAGGUUUUUGGGGUGAGGGUUAAAAUCACUGUCCAAGACAUUUUUAGGAACAAACCUUUUGGAGUUAAUUAGUCCAAAAAAAUGAACAAAGAAAAAAAAAAUGUUAGGGCUUCCUAUAGGUAAUACCCGGGUAUUGGGAUACAAGGCUAGGGUAAGGAUUAAGGUUUUGGGGGUUAAAAUCACUGUCCAAGACCUUUUUGUUACAUGUUUCAGACCUUUUGGAGUUAAUUAGAGCAUAAAAAACGAAAAUUAAAAAAAAAAUGUUUUGGGUGUUAGGGCUUCCUAUAGGUAAUACCCGGGUAUUGGGUUUAGCAGCUAGAGUAAGGUUUAAGGUUUUUGGGGUUAGGGUUAAAAUCACUGUCCAAGACCUUUUUAGGAACAUCUUUCAAACCUUUUGGAGUUAAUUAGACCAAAAAAAAAUGAAAAAUGAAAAAAAAAAUGUUUGUCAUGUUAGGGCUUCCUUAAGGCAAUACCCGGUUAUUGGGUUACGGGGGUAAGGAUUAAGGUUUUUGGGGUUAGGGUUAAAAUAACUGUCCCAGACCUUUUUGUUACAAGUUUCAGACCUUUUGGAGAUAGUUAGUCAAAAAAAAAAAAAAAACAUGAAAAAAAAAAUGUUUGGGGUUUUAGGGCUUCUUUUAGAUAAUACACAGGUAUGAAGUUAAGGGGCUAGGGUAAGGUUUAAGGUUUUUGGGGUGAGGGUUAAAAUCACUGUCCAAGACAUUUUUAGGAACAUGUUUCAAACCUUUUGGAGUUAAUUAGACCAAAAAAAAUGAAAAAAGAAAAAAAAAUGUUUGGGGUGGCGGGGUUUCCUAUAGGCACUACCUGGGUAUUGGGAUACAGGGCUAGGGUAAGGAUUAAGGUUUUUGGGGUUAGGGUUAAAAUUACUCUCCCAGACCUUUUUGUUACAUGUUUCAGACCUUUUGCAGUCAGUUAGUCCAAAAAAAAAAACAUGAAAAAAGAAAAGUUUGGGGAGUUAGGGCUUCCUAUUAAUAAUACCCGGGGUAUUGGGUUAUGGGGCUAGGGUCAGGUUUAAGGUUUUUGGGGUUAGGGUUAAAAUCACUGUCCAAGACCUUUUAAGGAACAUUUUUCAAACCUUUUGGAGUUAAUUAGACAAAAAAAAAACGAAAAAUGAAAAAAAAAUGUUUUGGGUGUUAGGGCUUCCUAUAGGUACUACCCGGGUAUUGGGUUUAGCAGCUAGAGUAAGGUUUAAGGUUUUUGGGGUUAGGGUUAAAAUCACUGUCCAAGACCUUUUUAGGAACAUUUUUCAAACCUUUUGGAGUUAAUUAGACCAAAAAAAAUGAAAAAUGAAAAAAAAAAAAAUGUUUGGGAUGUUAGGGCCUCCUAAAGGUAAUACCCGGGUAUUGGGUUACAGGGGUAAUGUUUAAGGUUUUUGGGGUUAGGGUUAAAAUCACUUUCCAAGACCUCUUUGUUACAUGUUUCAGAGCUUUUGGAGUUAGUUAGUCCAAAAAAACCGAAAAAUGAAUAAAAAAAAUGUUUGGGGUGUUAGGGUUUUCUUAAGGUAAUACCCAGGUAUUGGGUUACGGGUAAAGGGUAAGGUUUAAGGUUUUUGGGGUUCGGGUUAAAAUCACUGUCCAAGACCUUUUUAGGAACUCUUUUCCAACCUUUUGGAGUUAAUUAGACCAUAAAAAACGAAAAAUGAAAAAAAAAAUGUUUUGGGUGUUAUGGCUUCCUAUAGGUAAUACCCGGAUAUUGGGUUUAGCAGCUAGAGUAAGGUUUAAGGUUUUUAGGGUUAGGGUUAAAAUCACUGUCCAAGACCUUUUUAGGAACAUCUUUCAAACCUUUUGGAGUUAAUUAGACCAAAAAAAAAAAUGAAAAAUUUCAAAAACAUUUUUUGGGUUAUUUAGGGCUUUCUUUAGGUAAUACCUCGGUAUUGGGUUACGGGGCUAGGGUUAGGGUUAAGGUUUUAGGAUAAGGGUUAAUAUCACUCUCCAAGAACCUUUGAGGAGCAUGUUUCAAACCUUUUGGAGUUCGUUUGAAAAAAAAAAGAAGAAUUAAAAAAAAUUUAUUUUGGGUUCUUAGGGCUUCCUUUAGGUAAUAUCCAGGUAUUGGAUUCCGGGGUUAGGGUUAGGGUUAGGGUUUUCGGAAAAGGGUUAAUAUCACUGUCUCUAAGCAGCUGUGGACACACACCAUCUGGACCAGCUGCCUUCCAAAGUCUUCCAAGCUCCAACUUCACCCCUGUUUCUGUGACAGACAAGGACUGGUGCUCUAGGAGGGAAGUGGGUGUGACAGUAGUGUCAAAUCUGUCGAAGAACAGGUUGAGUUCAUCAGCUCUCUCCAGAUCACCCUCCACUGGCUGUUUUUUCUUUUUAUAUCUGUGUCCAGAGAUGGUACUGUUUCCUCUCCACACUUCACGGAUGUUGCUGUGUUGUAGAUUCCUCUCUAUCUUCUUUUUGUAUUCCAGCUUUGCCAUCUUCAGUCGCCUCUUCAACUCUUCUUGCACUUGUUGCACUUGUUUGACUUGUUCUUUGUCACCAUCUUUGAAAGCUUUCUUCUUCUAGUUAAGGAUUGCUUUUAUGUCACUUGUGAUCCAGGGUUUGUUGUUGGGGAAACAGCGAACAGUCUUUGUCGGUAUAACUGUGUUUCUACCAGAGUUGAUACAUCCAGUAAAGCAGUCAACUUGUCUGUCAAUGUUCAUAGUGUCCACAUCUGUUUCCAGCAGCACAUUUCAGUCUGUUGAUUUGAAACAGUCUCUUAGAGCUUCACUAGCUUGAGGUUUCCAUCUUCUGAUUUUGACUUUGGUCACAGGCUGCCUCAACACGCAAGGUCUGUAACAGGUUUGCAGAUAGAUCAAGUUAUGAUCUGACUUGCCCAGUGGUGGUAAGGCAGUGGCUCUGUAGGCUUCUUGACAUUGGCAUAUAGCAGAUCCAGGGUUUUGUUCUCUCUGGUAGGACAGUUCACAAACUUUGUGAAUCCUGUCAGGUGAGCGGAGAGGGUGACAUAGUUAAAGUCUCCUGAUAUCAUUAUUAGUGCCCCCGGGUGUUGAAUCUGUAGCCUGGCAACACUAUUAUGCACAAGAUUGCAUGGAAUUUCUUCAGUUGAUUUGGGUGGGAUGUAAAGAAGUAUUGUUAUGAUAUGACUGAAUUCUCUUGGAAUAUAAUAUGGCUGAAGAGCAACUGCCAACAGUUCAAUAUCUGGACAACACAACUUCUCCUUGACAGUUAUGUGUAUGUGCUUUUGUUGGGCAGAGAGGUGAUGUUUCCCAUGAUGACUGAUGGAAGAAAGGGUUUAUAUUGCCACCUCCUAGCAUUCAGCUUUGCCUUCACCUUUGCAUCAGCACAGCAACCAUGAUAACACCUCCUGAUGUCCUCUGGAAUUGUAUGUCGUUGUCUAGAUUUGCUUUUCUCAGUGAAAGGAGCUCUUCUCUUCAGUAAACUCUUCGCCUAGCAGAAGUAUCCAUCAGCAGCCAACAAAAAGACAACAAAAAUAUGAAAAAAAAAUCUAGCAAAAAUUACAAAAAAUACAGAGACCAGACUUGCAGCAACCUCUUGGUUCAAUGGCAUUAUUUAAGAUAGAUGAUAAGGUGGAAUCUGUGUUAAUAGAACGUACAGUCUUUACAGAUCACCAGGCUGUUACAAUAAAGAUCAAUGUGACAGACAUUAGAUAUCACUCUCAUAAAGAUCAAUAAAAAAUAAUUGCAAAAUUGGCUAUUUCAAAGUGAAGUCCAAAAGAUAAUAGAUAAAAUAUUAGAGGCAAGCAAAUUUAUUUAACAGUUUUUAAAAUUAUUGGGAGGUAAUGAAAUAUUACAAUAAAAUGUUAGCUAUUGCAUCUGGCGAAAAAAUGUUAAAGCAAAAAAAGGGGAGGAUCAGAUGAUUAGAAGAAUAGAUGGAGUAUCAGAGAAAAUAAGCUUGUCAAGAGAAGAACUGAAAGAUAUUUCAGGGUUACAACUUGAAUUGGACAAAAUACAUGAGGAAAAGGCCAGAGGGGCCUUUGUUCGGUCUCGAAGGAAGUGGCUAGAACAUGAGAAAAAGUACACCAAAUACUUUUUUAAGGUAGAAAAAAAAAGGAAUUUUUGAGCUGUCUUCUCUCUGUACACUUUAAAUUCAUAACCAAGUAUGUGAAGGUGAAGGAUAUACUUCCAAGUAUGCAGCUGAUUUCUACCAGAAAUGAUAUGCUGCUGACAUUAAAAACGAAGGCAACAUUGAUCUAUUUCUUCAAAAUAUUGAAAAGGAUGGAUGAACUCAACCUGUUCUUCAACAGAUUUGACACUGCUGUCACACCCACUUCCACUGCUACUCCACCUUCCUCUCUGCAACAAAUCUCCACUAUUACUUCUCCCGUUCUUCCUCCAUCUCGUUUAAGUGUCUCAACCACUUACUGCCUCCCUCCUAGAGCACCAGUCCUUGUCUGUCACCGAAACAGGGACUACAACCUGAGUCUACAGCUGGGGCGGGUACUUACUCUGUGGAAAACAUCCUGCAUUGUGCCAGUACCAAAAACAAAAUGUCCUGCUGAACUCAAUGACUACAGACCAGUGGCCCUCACUUCACACAUCAUAAAAACCCUGGAGCGGCUGAUUCUACGCCUUGUGAGGUCUAAACUUGAUUCCCUGCAGUUUGUAUACAAAGAACACAUUGGAGUGGAUGAUGCUGUCCUCUACAUGCUUCACCAUGUCCUGUCUCAUCUGGAGGAACCUGGGGUUUAUGUGAGGAUCAUGUUCUUCGACUUUUCAAGUGCAUUCAACACCAUCCAAUCCUCCAUACUCAGAGACAAGCUCACAGAGAUGUACAUCCUGCCUGAGUUUCCUGGAUGGCACAUUACCUGACAGGAAGGCCACAGUUUGUCAGGCUGGGGAACUGUGUUUCUGGGACCUUAAUGGGUAGUACAGGGGCUCCACAAGGGACAGUGCUGGCACUAUUCCUGUUCACACUGUAUACGUCAGGCUUCAAAUACAGCACUGAGUCCUGCCACAUCCUGAAAUACUCAGAUGACACCACUAUUGUUGCAUGUAUCAGAAAUGGUCAAGAAGCUGAAUACAGAGAUCUGAUAGGAGCCCUCAGUGAUUGGAGUCACAAAAACUGCCUCCUCCUCUUCAACACCUCAAAGACAAAGGAGAUGGCCAUAGACUUCCGUUGAUCCAAACCCUCUCUUCAGCCAGUGAACACCUGUGGAGUGGACAUCGAAGUGGUGACAUCAUAUAAAUACCUAGGUGUACAUCUUGAUAAUAAGUUGGAUUGGUCUAAGAAUAUAGACUUCAUCUACAGAGAGGGGCAGAGCCGCCUCUUUUGCCUGAGAAGACUAUGA
rnacentral:lncRNA from 1 species